UUUUUUUUGACAAAAAAAAAUAUGUUUAGAUUUUCUUAGGAUACAUGUUGAAAAAAACAUUUAUUUGACUAUUAUAACCAAGAAGGCUAAUAAUUGGUUCAUCAUAUUGAAAUAGCACCUUUCUAAAUUUAUAUCACAAAAAUAGCACUCAAAAACUAAAAUGACCAAAAUAGCACAUUUCUAAGUUUAUCAUUUCUAAGUUUAUUUUUCAAAAUUUGAAAUCUUAUUCCCAAAACCUCAUUUCUUAACUCUAAACCCUCAACCCUAAACUCUAAACCCUAAACCCUAAACUCUAAACCCUAAAAUCUAAACCCUAAACCAUAAACUCUAAACCCUAAACCCUAAACCCUAAAUCCUAAACCCCACCCU
rnacentral:lncRNA from 1 species